rnacentral:misc_RNA from 1 species
GAACGCACCUUGCGCCCUUUGGCUAUUCCGAAGGGCAUGCCUGUUUGAGUAUCACGAACACCUCAACUCUCAUGGCUUUGCCAUGAUGAGCUUGGACUUUGGGGGUCUUGCUGGCCUGUGGUCGGCUCCUCUCAAAUGAAUCAGCUUGCCAGUGUUUGGUGGCAUCACGGGUGUGAUAACUAUCUACGCUUGUGGUUUUCCACCAGGCAACCUUCAGUGAUGAAGGUUCGCUGGGGCUCAUAAAAUGUCUCUCCUCAGCGAGGACAGCUCUUUGAACGUUUGAUCUCAAAUCAGGUAGGACUACCCGCUGAACUUA